rnacentral:rRNA from 1 species
GACGAACGCUGGCGGCGUGCUUAACACAUGCAAGUCGAACGGAAAGGCCCUGCUUUUGUGGGGUGCUCGAGUGGCGAACGGGUGAGUAACACGUGAGUAACCUGCCCUUGACUUUGGGAUAACUUCAGGAAACAGGGGAUAAUACCGGCUAGGAGCUCCUGCUGCAUGGUGUGGGUGGGAAAGUUUCGGCGGCUGGGGAGGGACUCGCGGCUUAUCAGCUUGUUGGUGGGGUAGUGGCUUACGAAGGCUUUGACGGGUAGCAGGCCUGCGAGGGUGACCGGCCACAUUGGGACUGAGGUGCGGCCCGGACUCCUACGGGAGGCAGCAGUGGGGAAUAUUGCACAAUGGGCGGAGUCCUGAUGCAGCAACGCCGCGUGCGGGAUGACGGCCUUCGGGUUGUAAACCGCUUUCGCCUGUGACGAAGCGUGAGUGACGGUAAUGGGUAAAGAAGCACCGGCUAACUACGUG